AGGCCAGGGCAGCAGCGACAGAGCCCUGCAGGUGCGGGCGAAGGCAGGGAGUGGCGCAGCGGCAGCAGGAGAGGAAGUGCCAGGCGCCACGAACUCCUCCCAUGAGCCGAGAGUGUGAUUGUCGAAGGGCGGUGAAUGAACGCGUGUGUAGGAGGAGCCUUGUGAGCCAGGGGUCAAGCGAGGCGAAUACGUUUACGCACAAGAGUACAAUACGUAUUUACCACAAAGGACACGAGGAGCGGCUGCGUAGACCCGCCUCCGCUCCCACUCAGGACAGGCGAGUGAGCGCGCGUGUAUUUAGCCACUUAAGACCCCUUCUGCACUCACUCGCUCUUGAUCUCGUGUACCUUCGUAGGGGAUAGCUAAUAGAGACAGACAUAUAAGACGUUUCUUCU